rnacentral:rRNA from 1 species
AUUGAACGCUGGCGGCAGGCCUAACACAUGCAAGUCGAGCGAGCGGCGGACGGGUGAGUAAUGUAUGGGGACUGCCCGAUAGAGGGGGAUAACUACUGGAAACGGUGGCUAAUACCGCAUACUAUCGGAUAACCCAUAUGGGAUUAGCUAGUAGGUGGGGUAAAGGCUCACCUAGGCGACGAUCUCUAGCUGGUCUGAGAGGAUGAUCAGCCACACUGGGACAGAGACACGGCCCAGACUCCUACGGAGGCAGCAGUGGGGAAUAUUGCGCAGUGGGCGAAAGCCUGAUGCAGCCAUGCCGCGUAUAUGAAGAAGGCCUUCGGGUUGUAAAGCACUGUAAGCGAGAAGGCGUUACUCACAGAAGAAGCACCGGAUAACUCCGUGCCAGCCGCCGCGGUAAUUC